rnacentral:lncRNA from 1 species
UUAGAUUCGCACUAAGUGACAAAAUCUGGUGAAGAGAGAGGAGAAAAAGAUUUUUGACAUGAAAAAUGAGGGAGAAAAUUUUCCUCUCCCAGUGGCGGCAACGCAUUGCCCAAGGCAGCAGCGGACUGCUCGAGGUGGGAUAGCCCGAUUGGUGCACUGGAGGCACACAAGCCUGCUGUCGUGCGCCCAGGGGCUAGCCUGCGUACGCCUGCACACGCGU